UAUGGUGUGGCCCAGUGACCAUAGUGU
rnacentral:piRNA from 1 species